UACGAAGGAUGCAAGCGUUAUCCGGAUUUAUUGGGUUUAAAGGGUGCGUAGGCGGACUUAUAAGUCAGUGGUGAAAUCUCGUUGCUUAACAACGAACGUGCCAUUGAUACUGUAGGUCUUGAGUACAGAUGCCGUUGGCGGAAUGUGUCAUGUAGCGGUGAAAUGCAUAGAUAUGACACAGAACACCGAUUGCGAAGGCAGCUGACGAAACUGUAACUGACGCUGAGGCACGGAAGCGUGGGGAUCAAACAGG
rnacentral:rRNA from 1 species